rnacentral:rRNA from 2 species
AGGCUUAACACAUGCAAGUCGAGCGCCCCGCAAGGGGAGCGGCAGACGGGUGAGUAACGCGUGGGAAUCUACCUUUUGCUACGGAAUAACGCAGGGAAACUUGUGCUAAUACCGUAUGUGUCCUUCGGGAGAAAGAUUUAUCGGCAAGAGAUGAGCCCGCGUUGGAUUAGCUAGUUGGUGGGGUAAAGGCCUACCAAGGCGACGAUCCAUAGCUGGUCUGAGAGGAUGAUCAGCCACAUUGGGACUGAGACACGGCCCAAACUCCUACGGGAGGCAGCAGUGGGGAAUAUUGGACAAUGGGCGCAAGCCUGAUCCAGCCAUGCCGCGUGAGUGAUGAAGGCCCUAGGGUUGUAAAGCUCUUUCACCGGAGAAGAUAAUGACGGUAUCCGGAGAAGAAGCCCCGGCUAACUUCGUGCCAGCAGCCGCGGUAAUACGAAGGGGGCUAGCGUUGUUCGGAAUUACUGGGCGUAAAGCGCACGUAGGCGGAUCGAUCAGUCAGGGGUGAAAUCCCAGGGCUCAACCCUGGAACUGCUUUGAUACUGUCGAUCUGGAGUAUGGAAGAGGUGAGUGGAAUUCCGAGUGUAGAGGUGAAAUUCG